rnacentral:pre_miRNA from 1 species
CGAUGAUGAUGAUGAUGAUGAUGAUGAUGAUGAUGAUGAUGAUGAUGAACAUCAUCAUCAUCAUGCUCAAUAUCAUCAUCAUCUUCAUCAUUACAA